rnacentral:rRNA from 1 species
GCUUUAUAAAUUAGCAUUAGUUUGAUAAAAUUUAUAUAAAAUCAUAGUAUUGUUGUUUUGUUUUAUUGGGGCGAUAUAAAUAUAAAUUAUUUAACUGUUUACUAAAACCACAUUUAUUCAUGACUUAAUUAUAAUUGAUCCUUUUUAAAGAUUAAAAGUCUAAGUU